rnacentral:rRNA from 1 species
UACGUAGGGCGCAAGCGUUGUCCGGAAUUAUUGGGCGUAAAGAGCUCGUAGGCGGUUUGUCGCGUCUGCUGUGAAAACCUGAGGCUCAACCUCGGGCUUGCAGUGGGUACGGGCAGACUAGAGUGCGGUAGGGGUGACUGGAAUUCCUGGUGGAGCGGUGAAAUGCGCAGAGAUCAGGAGGAACACCGGUGGCGAAGGCGGGUCACUGGGCCGAUACUGACGCUGAGGAGCGAAAGCGUGGGGAGCGAACAGG